GCCCGAGUCUCACUCACUAUCUGCGUCUCUCCCUCUGUAGCAGCACAUACAUGGCUUCUCAACUAGGUGUUCUAAUGUCAAAGACGUCUUGGGCAUUUCAGCCAAACAUUUUGAGACUCGGCCAGUACAUUAGUAUCAGAGUUGCGACUACCAGGGCAACGAAACCGAAGAAACCAAAGAGUCCUCCCAUCGGGAAGGGAAACAAGCCGCCUCAAACCAAUGCUUGACAACCAGAACGGUGCUUCCGGUUCAUUAUCAGUUGCUGAAUGGAAGUGAAAUAUGAACAAGUGGUAGAGACACCAACAAUAACAAGAUUACAGUAGUAGCAGUUGGAUUAAGUCAAAGCUAGCCAACCACUUUAUUCUUAUUCUUAUUGAGUUAUAUUUUUGUGUAUGUACUUCUUGUUUGUUUAUUAUCCAGUUGAAUAACCAAAUCAGGCUAGUGUAAAACAGGACUUUGAGCCAAAAUCGAAGUCAACCAACACUUACUUGACUUUAUGAAACGCCGCAGCUAACUUUGCAUUUCCAGCGUUUCGAUUUAUCAAGUGAUACUUUUCAUAACUGCUAAAAAAAAAAAAAAAAUUACUGGUUGAAAAACAACAAUCAACUGCCGACAAAACUGGGAGAAC